UACGAAGGGGGCUAGCGUUGCUCGGAAUCACUGGGCGUAAAGCGCACGUAGGCGGUUUGUUAAGUCAGGGGUGAAAUCCUGGAGCUCAACUCCAGAACUGCCUUUGAUACUGGCGAUCUCGAGUCCGGGAGAGGUGAGUGGAACUGCGAGUGUAGGGGUGAAAUUCGUAGAUAUUCGCAAGAACACCAGUGGCGAAGGCGGCUCACUGGCCCGGUACUGACGCUGAGGUGCGAAAGCGUGGGGAGCAAACAGG
rnacentral:rRNA from 1 species